UCGAGUAUCAUUACUAGUGGUCACUUCGAUUGGUACAAAAAUUUAUUCAUGUGCUACUGGCUUAGGUUCAGACCUAUGAGAUCACACACAUUAGAAUUCAUGAUCCGAUCCGAUGGUUGAUCAAUGAUUAAGAAUCGUUCUAAGAUUAAAUAAUCAAUACGAUUGACAUUUAACCUAGUGCAAGUGUUGCAGGAGGAUCGAUUAGCAAUUUGAUUGCUAAUUGGCUUAAUUUGAUUAAGCCAAUGGGCUG
rnacentral:lncRNA from 1 species